CUUAGYAASUSGSGARKKAAAGCGGGAAAAGCYCAAAUUUAAAAUCUGSCGGUCCUUGGCSUCCGAGUKUAGUCCUGGRGAAGCGUCUUCCGCGUGGACCGUGUACNAAGUCUCUUGGAACAGAGCSUCAUAGAGGGUGAGAAUCCCGUCUUUGACACGGACUACCAAUGCUUUGUGAUGCGCUCUCAAAGAGUCGCGUUGUUUGGGAAUGCAGCGCAAAAUGGGAGGUGAAUUCCUUCUAAAGCUAAAUAUUGGCGAGAGACCGAUAGCGAACAAGUACCGUGAGGGAAAGAUGAAAAGCACUUUGGAAAGAGAGUUAAACAGUACGUGAAAUUGCUAAAAGGGAAACGCUUGAAGUCAGUCGCGUCGUCCGGAACUCAGCUUUGCUUCGGCUUAGUGCACUUUCCGGUUGACGGGCCAGCAUCGAUUUUGACCGCUGGAAAAGGGCUGGAGGAAUGUGGCACCUUCGGGUGUGUUAUAGCCUUCAGUCGCAUACAGCGGUUGGGAUCGAGGAACGCAGCGCGCCUUAUGGCUGGGGUUCGCCCACAUUCGCGCUUAGGAUGCUGGCAUAAUGGCUUUAAMCGACCCGUCUUGAAACACGGACCAAGGAGUCUAACAUGCCUGCGAGUGUUUGGGUGGAAAACCCGAGCGCGUAAUGAAAGUGAAAGUUGAGACCUCUGUCGUGGAGGGCAUCGACGCCCGGACCUGACGUUUUCUGAAGGAUCCGCGGUAGAGCAUGUAUGUUGGGACCCGAAAGAUGGUGANCUAUGCCUGAAUAGGGUGAAGCCAGAGGAAACUCUGGKGGAGGCUCGKRGSSAUCKGACSUGSAAUCRAUCKKCAAAUUUGGGUAU
rnacentral:rRNA from 1 species